GUGAAAACCCUCCCCACCUGUUCCCCUUCAAAGAAAACCCACCGGUUGUAGUCAUCCCAUUUCCACCUAGGCUCACACAAAAAAGCAAAAUCACAUUUUACUAUACACACACAACAAAAACAAAGGAAAGGAAUUACCUGUGGAUUUGAAGGCGAUGCUGUCGGUGUCGGAGAAAAAUGGUUAAAAGGUUGUAAAUUUUUUGCAACCACUGAAUCGCUGCUGACUUUAACACCGUUUUCCAUAUCUCUUUAAGGUCAAAUUUUGCAAGACAUAUUUCUCAGUUCUUAGGUCUUUUUUCUUUAUCAGAGUAGAUCCUAUGCGAGAGAGAAAUUUAUGGGUUUUAACCAAGGCUAAGGUUGAUUUUGAAAAUUAUCAUGUCGCCAUUAUUGGCCUUUGCCUUUUGCUUUUGGAAAAAAAUAGUUGAUUUUAACGUGUUUUGGAUGAUUAAUUGCAGCACUCAUGAUGAGAUGAUCGUUAUGGUAUUAUGUUAAAUCUUUUUUAUGGAUUAUUUUUGAUUGAUUUCUAGUAGUUUUAUUGGAUUUUUCUAGAUACUAUAGUAUAAUCUUUUAUAUUGAAUUUUUUAUGUGCAUGAAUAACUGUUGACGCAUGCUGAUUUUGAUUACUCAUUGUGCUACAUA
rnacentral:lncRNA from 1 species